UCCAGUGGGCAUGUAUGACGACUCGUCAUCCAGCAAGAAAGAGAAUGGACGGGAAUUUUAGUUGUGCUUGAACUAUUUCUUCAAAUUUGCUGACGAAUCAUCCUCAUCUGUAGCAUAAGACAUGAUAUUAUAAAAAAUUUUGUUUAAAUCACACAUACCAUACUAUGCUUACCAGAGCUACAUUGCUCAUCAAAAGUUUUAGCCAGAGAAUUGACAUCGUCAGUUACUUUCUUUUUCUCCUCCUCACGCCUCAUUCUCUCCCUCUCCUUGUAAGUCCGGCGUUUAGCCUCCUUUUUGAGAAUUUCCUUCGGCUUACUCGGAUCGGCGACUGCUUCCUCGUUCUCGACCGGGACAACUUCUUCUUCUUCUUCGAUCUCUUCUUCUUCUUCUACUUCUAUCUCCGCUUCAUCUUCUCCUCCAUAAUAAUCAAAUUGGAAGAAAGAAUCGGGGCAGAUACUUUCUGAAGAGUCCACAUCGGUUUCUAAAAAAAAAAAAAAAAAAAAAAAAGAUGAUUAGAAUUAAACUCAUUAGGUAAGGUUAGGUUAGGGUAGGUUAGGGUAGGGUAGGCGCGCACUUACCGCAUCUUAAACACCUAUGGCAAAAUUUGAAAUUCCCAUCGUUUUUGGCCCCACAUCUAGAAAAAUAUGAUUAAUAAACUAAGAUUAAAAUAAAGAAUAAAUAAAUAAGAUUAAUAAACUUACUUGAAGCAGUCCCAUUCUUUUUUCGCAUCCAAUUCAGGAGCAUCAUCAUUGGCAUCCAGGCAUCCAGGCGCAUCAUUAGCCAUCUAAAAUAAAUAACAUUGAUUAGUAACGAGAAGAAAAGAAAAAUGAUCAACCACAAAUCUCGUGUUCAAAACUUCCUGACUACGAGUAUAGGCAAGUGGCAACUGAUAGAAAGUUGGAAAUUCCUUAAAACUCGCAUAGACGAAGAAUCUAUACUAUGUCACAUGUUCCGGUAUGUCAUCAAGGCUAGCUAUAACUUAUAAAGCUCAUCCGUGACUUCUACCACCUUCUACUGUGACGACGUCGCUUUGUACAAGAAAUCUUAGGUACAAAAGGGGGUACCGUUACAUUUGACGCAAUAAACUUCUGAUUGGAUAGGUGGUGAGGCUAAAUAUAAGUAUUAUAGCGGUGGAUUUUGAACGGAUACUACACACGACAAACCAGCGGUAGCAACUUCGGAACACUUUCAUAAGGUUCGUUCGUUGUGUUACACGCGCACGCACAGUAUAGUUGUUUACUCUAUUUAUUUGUGAAAUUGCAAUCGUCAAAAAUACAGGACAGUAUUUUAAAAGAUGGAUUUAUUUUAUAACAUAUGUUAUCUGCUGGUUUUCGUCUCAUCACGUAAGUUAACUGCUGGUCUUUCUUUGUACGAAAAAGUGCAACUACUUGAAACAAAUUAUGAUGAAAUUAAAGGAAAUUUGGAAUGCAAAAUUCUUAAUUUGGAAACAAAGGUUUCCACGCUGGAAGAAAAGAUAACUGAACUAGUCGAAAAAGUAGAACUGCAAGAAUCGAAAAUAUCUGCCCAGGAAUCGAGAAUAACUGCGCAAGAAUCACAAAUAACUGCCCAAGAAUCGAAAAUAACUGAUGA
rnacentral:lncRNA from 1 species